rnacentral:rRNA from 1 species
CGUAGGUGGUCCUUCAAGUCAGAUGUUAAAUUUCUCGGCUUAACUGGGAAUGGUCAUCUGAUACUGCUGGACUUGAGGGUGGUAGAGGGAGGUGGAAUUCCCGGUGUAGUGGUGAAAUGCGUAGAUAUCGGGAGGAACACCAGUGGCGAAAGCGGCCUCCUAGGCCAUUCCUGACACUGAGGCGCGAAAGCGUGGGGAGCGAACAGGAUCAGAUACCCUGGUAGUCCACGCCCUAAACUGUGGAAACUAGGUACAGGGAGUAUCGACCCUUCCUGCGCCGUAGCUAACGCGUUAAGUUUCCCGCCUGGGGACUACGGUCGCAGACUAAA